UACGUAGGGGGCAAGCGUUGUCCGGAUUUAUUGGGCGUAAAGCGCGUGUAGGCGGCUUGGUAGGUCAGCUGUGAAAACUCGAGGCUCAACCUCGAGCUGUCGGUUGAAACCACCUUGCUAGAGUCCGGAAGAGGAGAGUGGAAUUCCUGGUGUAGCGGUGAAAUGCGCAGAUAUCAGGAAGAACACCAAUGGCGAAGGCAGCUCUCUGGGACGGUACUGACGCUGAGACGCGAAAGCGUGGGGAGCGAACAGG
rnacentral:rRNA from 1 species